rnacentral:rRNA from 1 species
GACGAACGCUGGCGGCGUGCUUAACACAUGCAAGUCGAACGGAAAGGCCCUGCUUUUGUGGCGUGCUCGAGUGGCGAACGGGUGAGUAACACGUGAGUAACCUGCCCUUGACUUUGGGAUAACUUCAGGAAACUGCGGCUAAUACCGGAUAGGAGCUCCUGCUGCCUGGUGGGGGUUGGAAAGUUUCGGCGGUUGGGGAUGUACUCGCGGCUUAUCAGUCUGUUGGUGGGGUAGUGGCUUACCAAGGCUUUGACGGGUAGCCGGCCUGAGAGGGUGACCGGCCCCAUGGGGACUGAGAUACGGCCCGGACUCCUACGGGAGGCAGGAGUGGGGAAGAGUGCACAAUGGGGGGAAGCCUGAUGCAGCAACGCCGCGUGCGGGAUGACGACCUUCGGGUUGUAAACCGCUUUCGCCUGUGACGAAGCGUGAUUGACGGUAAUGGAUAAAGAAGCACCGGCUAACUACGUG